rnacentral:rRNA from 1 species
UACGUAGGGACCAAGCGUUGUUCGGAUUUACUGGGCGUAAAGGGCGCGUAGGCGGCAAUUCAAGUCAGUUGUGAAAGCUCUGGGCUUAACCCAGAAAGGUCAACUGAUACUGCGGGGCUAGAGUGCAGAAGGGGCAACUGGAAUUCUCGGUGUAGCGGUGAAAUGCGUAGAUAUCGAGAGGAACACCUGCGGCGAAGGCGGGUUGCUGGGCUGACACUGACGCUGAAGUGCGAAAGCUAGGGGAGCGAACGGG